rnacentral:misc_RNA from 1 species
CAGUUCACCAACACAUAGGAUUGUAGGGACAGAAAGUAAAAGCGCGGUUGAUUCAUUUUCACUUUAAACCUUCGUGUCAUCGUCUGUGGUUUUUCUUUUAUAGAAUAUAUAUGAAAAAA